UACGAAGGGUGCAAACGUUAUUCGGAAUUACUGGGCUUAAAGAGUUCGUAGGCGGUCCGUCACGUCGGGAGUGAAAACUCAGGGCUCAACCCUGAGCGUGCUUCCGAUACGGGCGGACUAGAGGUAUGCAGGGGAGAACGGAAUUCCUGGUGUAGCGGUGGAAUGCGCAGAUAUCAGGAGGAACACCGGUGGCGAAGGCGGUUCUCUGGGCAUUACCUGACGCUGAGGAGCGAAAGCAUGGGGAGCGAACAGG
rnacentral:rRNA from 1 species